rnacentral:ribozyme from 2 species
UCUCUAAUGCAGCUAGUGGAGAAUUUUAUACACUAAAGGUCACAAGCCCUUGUAAAUGCAGAGUGGAGA